rnacentral:rRNA from 1 species
UACGGAGGGUGCGAGCGUUAUCCGGAUUUAUUGGGUUUAAAGGGUGCGUAGGCGGUUUGUUAAGUCAGCGGUGAAAGUUUGAGGCUCAACCUUAAAAUUGCCGUUGAAACUGGCAGACUUGAGUGUAGAUGAAGUAGGCGGAAUUUGUGGUGUAGCGGUGAAAUGCAUAGAUAUCACGAAGAACUCCAAUUGCGAAGGCAGCUUACUAAACUACAACUGACGCUGAUGCACGAAAGCGUGGGUAUCAAACAGG